UACUAUUAUUUACCAAUUAAAAUAUGAAGAGAUACAGUAUACAGCAGUGGUUUUCAAUCGAUGUGCCGCGAGCGCCCGUGAAGUGUGCCGCGAUAAAUCUGUUAUAGUUUAAUAAUUUUGUGUUUACACUUCCUGAGACAACUUCCUGAGGUUUGGGAUCAAAUUGUGAAAGUGAUAAAUUAUAUAUAAAGUAGUUCACUAAAGCCAAGGUUGUUUGAAAAAAUUUGUGAAGGUAUGAAUUCAAAUAACUCAAAGUUAC